GACGAACGCUGGCGGCGUGCUUAACACAUGCAAGUCGAGCGGUAAGGCCCUUUCGGGGGUACACGAGCGGCGAACGGGUGAGUAACACGUGGGUGACCUGCCCUCAGCUCUGGGAUAAGCCUGGGAAACCGGGUCUAAUACCGGAUAUGACUCCAUGACGCAUGUUGUGGGGUGGAAAGCCUUGUGCGGCUGAGGAUGGGCCCGCGGCCUAUCAGCUUGUUGGUGGGGUGAUGGCCUACCAAGGCGACGACGGGUAGCCGGCCUGAGAGGGCGACCGGCCACACUGGGACUGAGACACGGCCCAGACUCCUACGGGAGGCAGCAGUGGGGAAUCUUGCGCAAUGGGCGAAAGCCUGACGCAGCGACGCCGCGUGAGGGAUGACGGCCUGUGUA
rnacentral:rRNA from 1 species